CCUACGGGAGGCAGCAGUAGGGAAUCUUCCACAAUGGGCGAAAGCCUGAUGGAGCAACGCCGCGUGGGUGAAGAAGGUCUUCGGAUCGUAAAACCCUGUUGUUAGAGAAGAAAGUGCGUGAGAGUAACUGUUCACGUUUCGACGGUAUCUAACACGAAAGCCACGGCUAACUACGUGCCAGCAGCGGCGGUAAUACGUAGGUGGCAAGCGUUAUCCGGAUUUUUUGGGAGUAAAGGAAACGCAGGCGGUCUUUUAAGACUGAUGUGAAAGCCUUCGGCUUAACCGGAGUAGUUCAUUGGAAACGGGGAGACUUGAGUGCAGAAGAGGAGAGUGGAACUCCAUGUGUAGCGGUGAAAUGCGUAGAUAUAUGGAAGAACACCAGUGGCGAAAGCGGCUCUCUGGUCUGUAACUGACGCUGAGGUUCGAAAGCGUGGGUAGCAAACAGGAUUAGAUACCCCAGUAGUC
rnacentral:rRNA from 1 species